UUGGUGGUCCAGUCAGCAACACUAAAAUUGGAAUGAUACUGAGAAGAUUAGCAUGGCCUCUGAGCAAGGAUGACAUACAAAUUCAUGAGGCAUGUAUUUCUUUA